CCUACGGGUGGCAGCAGUAGGGAAUCUUCCACAAUGGGCGAAAGCCUGAUGGAGCAACGCCGCGUGGGUGAAGAAGGUCUUCGGAUCGUAAAACCCUGUUGUUAGAGAAGAAAGUGCGUGAGAGUAACUGUUCACGUUUCGACGGUAUCUAACCAGAAAGCCACGGCUAACUACGUGCCAGCAGCCGCGGUAAUACGUAGGUUGCAAGCGUUAUCCGGAUUUAUUGGGCGUAAAGGGAACGCAGGCGGUCUUUUAAGUCUGAUGGGAAAGCCUUCGGCUUAACCGGAGUAGUGCAUUGGAUACUGGGAGACUUGAGUGCAGAAGAGGAGAGUGGAACUCCAUGUGUAGCGGUGAAAUGCGUAGAUAUAUGGAAGAACACCAGUGGCGAAAGCGGCUCUCUGGUCUGUAACUGACGCUGAGGUUCGAAAGCGUGGGGAUCGAACAGGAUUAGAUACCCUGGUAGUC
rnacentral:rRNA from 1 species